rnacentral:tRNA from 1 species
GCCGGGGUGGCGAAACUGGCAGACGCACGGGACUUAAAAUCCCGGGAUCCGCAAGGGUCGUGUGGGUUCGAUUCCCACCCCCGGCACCA